GCCACGCCCACCACACCCCUUCUGAAUUCUUGAUCUACAUGGUCCAUUGGCAGGGUGCAUGAGGCACGUUUUGUAAGGACACAUUGAUGAGGGACCCACCUUUCCCCAGUAUGACCUUGUCAUAAUGACACCUUCAGCUAUCCUGUUUUCAAAUAAGACACCAAAAGAUCCUGAAGCCUGCUCUCCAAGGAUAUGCAGGGUCAACUGCAUCAGUAUUUGGGGCCAGUAAUUUUCUUCCAGGAGACAGUUCUGUGCUCCAUAGGGUAGACGCCAGAAACUGAUUGCUAUUGGAUGCCAGGAACACUCCCCUCCCCUCCAAGUUCUGAAAACCACAGAUGUCUCCAGAAAUUGCCAGGUAAUCCCCAUCCAGAUGA